rnacentral:rRNA from 1 species
ACGGGAGGCAGCAGUCGGGAAUAUUGCGCAAUGGGGGAAACUCUGACGCAGUGACGCCGCGUAUAGGAAGAAGGUUUUAGGAUUGUAAACUAUUUUAGACAGGGAAGAACAAAGACAGUACCUGUAGAAUAAGCUCCGGCUAACUACGUGCCAGCAGCCGCGGUAAUACGUAGGGAGCAAGCGUUAUCCGGAAUUAUUGGGUGUAAAGGGUGCGUAGACGGGAAUUUAAGUUGGUUGUGAAAGCCCUCGGCUUAACUGAGGAACUGCAACCAAAACUGAAUUUCUUGGGUGCAGGAGAGGAAAGCGGAAUUCCUAGUGUAGCGGUGAAAUGCGUAGAUAUUAGGAGGAACACCAGUGGCGAAGGCGGCUUUCUGGACUGCAACUGACGUUGAGGCACGAAAGUGUGGGGAGCAAACAGGAUUAGAUACCCUGGUA